AUUGAACGCUGGCGGCAUGCCUUACACAUGCAAGUCGAACGGCAGCAUGGAGAGCUUGCUCUCUGAUGGCGAGUGGCGAACGGGUGAGUAAAGCAUCGGAACGUACCGUGUAGUGGGGGAUAACGUAGCGGAAGUUACGCUAAUACCGCAUACGCACUGAGGUGGAAGGCAGGGGAUCGCAAGACCUUGCGCUAUACGAGCGGCCGAUGUCAGAUUAGCUAGUUGGUAGGGUAAAGGCCUACCAAGGCGACGAUCUGUAGCGGGUCUGAGAGGAUGAUCCGCCACACUGGGACUGAGACACGGCCCAGACUCCUACGGGAGGCAGCAGUGGGGAAUUUUGGACAAUGGGGGCAACCCUGAUCCAGCCAUGCCGCGUGAGUGAAGAAGGCCUUCGGGUUGUAAAGCUCUUUCGGCCGGGAAGAAAUCGCACAGGCUAAUACUCUGUGUGGAUGACGGUACCGGCAUAAGAAGCACCGGCUAACUACGUGCCAGCCGCCGCAGUAA
rnacentral:rRNA from 1 species